UAGGGAAUCUUCGGCAAUGGACGAAAGUCUGACCGAGCAACGCCGCGUGAGUGAAGAAGGUUUUCGGAUCGUAAAACUCUGUUGUUAGAGAAGAACAAGGAUGAGAGUAGAAUGUUCAUCCCUUGACGGUAUCUAACCAGAAAGCCACGGCUAACUACGUGCCAGCAGCCGCGGUAAUACGUAGGUGGCAAGCGUUGUCCGGAUUUAUUGGGCGUAAAGCGAGCGCAGGCGGUUUCUUAAGUCUGAUGUGAAAGCCCCCGGCUCAAACGGGGAGGGUCAUUGGAAACUGGGAAAAUUGAGUGCAGAAGAGGAGAGUGGAAUUCCAUGUGUAGCGGUGAAAUGCGUAGAUAUAUGGAGGAACACCAGUGGCGAAGGCGGCUCUCUGGUCUGUAACUGACGCUGAGGCGCGAAAGCGUGGGGAGAAAACAGG
rnacentral:rRNA from 1 species